rnacentral:rRNA from 1 species
UACAGAGGUCUCAAGCGUUGUUCGGAUUCAUUGGGCGUAAAGGGUGCGUAGGCGGCGCGGUAAGUCGGGUGUGAAAUCUCGGAGCUUAACUCCGAAACUGCAUUCGAUACUGCCGUGCUUGAGGACUGGAGAGGAGACUGGAAUUUACGGUGUAGCGGUGAAAUGUGUAGAGAUCGGGAGGAACACCGGUGGCGAAGGCGGGUCUCUGGGCAAUUCCUGGACGCUGAGGCGCGAAAGCGUGGGGAGCAAACGGG